GCGGCACCCGCUCCCUCGGCCCUGACCCUCCGGCGGCGCCUGCUCCCUCGGGGCCGACCCUCCGGCAGCGCCCCGCUCCCUCGGCCUCUGACAUCGCUCGCUCCCUCGGCCCUGACCCUCCGGCAGCGCCCCGCGCUCUCAGCGCCGACCCUCCGACAGCUCCCAAGCUGAACACCAGGAGUACGGCAGCUCUCUCUCUCUCCCUCUCAGCUGCUUCACUGGGUCUUUUGCUCUCGCCCUCCGAUAGCAGGGGGCCUCCCGCCACGUCCUUCCUGGUUUUAAUUUCAUCCUGUCUCAUCCCUCUCUUUCUCUCUCCGUCCAGGAACGAGGGUCUACAGCCCUCCGGAGUACAUCCAGCAGCGACGCUACCAGGCCAUCCCCGCCACCGUCUGGUCCCUUGGGAUCUUGCUGUACGACAUGGUCUGCGGAGACAUCCCCUUCCAACAGGACGAGGAAAUCCUGGCCUGCAAGUUCCAAAUACCAUCCUCCAUCUCAGAUGAAUGUGAGGAUUUGAUACGUCGGUGCCUCUCCUCAGAUUCCCGUGACCGGCCCAGCCUCGAGCAGAUCCUGCAGCACCCAUGGGUUCAGUGGGACGCGGGGAGACAGACACCAGGGUUUCGGGUCCAGGGGGGCGGUGGCGACCCUGACCCCUGCCAGGAAGGCCGGUGAGGGGGCCGCUUGGAGAAGCAACGGGACGUUCUGUUUGUCGGCGCCUCCUUGUGGAAGCAAGGGAGGGCGGAGGUGCCAGGAAGUCACCAUCCUGGGACAGCGAGAGAUCGCCAGGACUGGAGGCGGGGGGGUGGGGGGGCACCCUGAACAGACUGGAGCUCGUGACUAUGGGAUCCUCACCGCAGAGGGCAAAAGACCUCCGCCGCCCCCCCCCCCCCCCGCGCCGACCCCCCGCCUCCGUAGAAAUGGGCGAAUCGGUUGGAUAUCAAGAACGUGGGCACAAACACCAGGGAGUGAGGUGUUUGAACGAGAGAGAGAGAGAGAGAGUGAUUGCUCCCACAGUCGAGCAGCCGUCUGGAAAUGUGAAUACUUGGAAAUGGGUGCAAGAGGCAGAUUUGAUGUAACGUUUAAAAUAUCAGACUGCCCUCGGACAUGCAGGAGCGUUGUUUUAACUGUGUAAAUACUUGUAUAAUAUAAACCAUUUCACAAUUG